rnacentral:rRNA from 1 species
ACUUAGCGGCGGACGGGUGAGUAACGCGUGGGCAACCUGCCUUACACAGGGGGAUAACAAUUAGAAAUGAUUGCUAAUACCGCAUAAGACCCCAGUGCCGCAUGGUACAGGGGUAAAAACUGAGGUGGUGUAAGAUGGGCCCGCGUCUGAUUAGGUAGUUGGUGGGGUAGAAGCCUACCAAGCCGACGAUCAGUAGCCGACCUGAGAGGGCGACCGGCCACAUUGGGACUGAGACACGGCCCAAACUCCUACGGAAGGCAGCAG